UUAUCAGCCAUUGCAACACGAAUGCAGGAAUAUUAUUUUCUUGGUGAAGGUAUCGCUUUACGAAUCGUGUAAUUUCUUUGGAAAAAUUUAUUUCUUAGUUUUUGGAAACUUAAUUGUUGUACAAGGAUUUUUAUUUGAAGACAAAUUGUGAAAAAUGUAUUUACGAAUUACAAAUUUUUCGAGCUUGCUUUCGUCCUUCAUCCUCGAAUUCUGUUCGAUUUUCUGUGCAACAGGAAAAUAUUAACACGUUCGGGUAAAACGAGAUCAAGGUGAGAAUAAAAAAUAAGAGCAAUAUUAAAAAUCUCCAAUAUCAAGACACGUAAAUCGAAGCAACUUCCUUGCGCUACUGUUUACCCUGUCUCUCUCUCUCUCUCUCUCUUUCUCUUUCUCUUUCUCUCUCCCGCAAGUGAGAGAAAAGGGAAAAUGAGAACGCUGCAUAAUCUUGUGCUACAUUUUGUGGUUUAAAGUUACCAAAAAUAUCCCGUAUCCGGACACUCCAGCAGGCUGUAAAGUGUAAAGCCCCGUCUCCACGUGGGUGGUCGGAUCUCCCUAGGACUCACAAUCCUUUGCUGCUUUCCUAGAAAUUCGAGAUUUCCAAAGGGAGCAAAGAAAAAAGAAAAAGUUGUGAAGCUGAAGGGAAGAGGAAAAAAAAUUAGUAGAGCG
rnacentral:misc_RNA from 1 species